AUUGAACGCUGGCGGCAGGCCUAACACAUGCAAGUCGAACGAGUGGCGGACGGGUGAGUAAUUUCUGGGAAACUGCCCGAUGGAGGGGGAUAACUACUGGAAACGGUAGCUAAUACCGCAUACCAUCGGAUGUGCCCAGGUGGGAUUAGCUAGUAGGUGGGGUAACGGCUCACCUAGGCGACGAUCCCUAGCUGGUCUGAGAGGGUGACGAGCCAAACUGGAACUGAGACACGGACCAGACGCCUACGGGAGGCAGCAGUGGGGAAUAUUGCACAAUGGUCGCAAGCCUGAUCGAGCCAUGCCGCGUGUAUGAAGAAGGCCUUCGGGUUGUAAAGUACUUUCAGUUGGGAGGCGUUACUCGCAGAGGAAGCACCGGCUAACUCCGUGCCAGCAGCCGCGGUAAUUC
rnacentral:rRNA from 1 species